UGAAUACGAGAUGCUACGGCGUCGAAGCAGUCUAUGUCAUACUUCCAAGAAAAGCUUGCACUGUCAUAAACAAAUAAUGCCUGUACCAUAACCGACACAGGUGGGUAGGUAGAGUAUACUAAGGGGCGCGAGAUAACUCUCUCUAAGGAACUCGGCAAAAUGACUCCGUAACUUCGGGAGAAGGAGUGCCUUAUUUAUAAGGUUGCAAUAACAAGAUCCAAGCAACUGUUUACCAAAAACACAGGUCUCCGCUAAGUCGUAAGACGAUGUAUGGGGGCUGACGCCUGCCCAGUGCCAGAAGGUUAAAGAAGUUGGUUAGCAUCCGCGAAGCUGAUAACUGAAGCCCUGGUGAACGGCGGCCGUAACGAUAACGGUCCUAAGGUAGCGAAAUUCCUUGUCGGGUAAGUUCCGACCCGCCCGAAAGGCGUAAUGAUUUGGAUACUGUCUCGGAGAGGGGCUCGGUGAAAUAGACUUGUCUGUGAAGAUGCGGACUACCUGCACCAGGACAGAAAGACCCUAUGAAGCUUUACUGUAACCUGAAAUUGAAAUUGGACUUUACUUGCGCAGUAUAGGUGGGAGGCGUUGAGAAUAUUCUUGCGGGAUUAUUGGAGCCAUCAGUGAGAUACCACUCUUGUAAUGUUAGAUUUCUAACUUUGUAUCAUUAUCUGGUCAAAGAACAGUUUCAGGCGGGCAGUUUGACUGGGGCGGUCGCCUCCUAAACGGUAACGGAGGCGCACAAAGGUUUCCUCUGAACGGGUAGAAAUCGUAUCUAGAGUGUAAAGGCAUAAGGAAGCUUGACUGUGAGACCUACAAGUCGAGCAGGGACGAAAGUCGGUCUUAGUGAUCUGACGGUGCUGAGUGGAAAGGCCGUCACUCAACGGAUAAAAGUUACUCUAGGAUAACAGGCUGAUCUCCCCCAAGAGUUCACAUCGACGGGGAGGUUUGGCACCUCGAUGUCGGCUCAUCGCAUCCUGGGGCGGUAGUACGUCGCAAGGGUUGGGCUGUUCGCCCAUGAAAGCGGUACGCGAGCUGGGUUCAGAACGUCGUGAGACAGUUCGGUCCAUAUCCGGUGUAGGCGUUAGAAUAUUGAGAGGAGCCUUCUUUAGUACGAGAGGACCGAGAAGGACAUACCUCUGGUGUACCAGUUAUCGUGCCAACGGUAAACGCUGGGUAGCUAUGUGUGGAGUGGAUAACCGCUGAAAGCAUCUAAGUGGGAAGCCCACCUCAAGAUAAGUAUUCUC
rnacentral:rRNA from 1 species